CAUCAGGCCAUGCUCUGCCCGAGUUGGAUGGACGCGGACAUGUUUCUGCUGUGGUUAUUUGGAAGAUCAGCUUCUCCCUGGUGCCAGCACCCAUCAAGUCCUUCGCAGCUUCCAACACAUCUCCUGGGACACGAGGACAGACACCGCUGGCAUCACCCCUCUUCCCUAAGGGCAGUAACACUCUUAUGGUGAUCUUGCUGAACGGCAGCAGGGACAUUUCUAUGGAGGAUGUUCACGUGAGGUCCAGAUGAAGCUGGGCUGCUGCUUAUACAUGCCUUAACCCUUGCAUUUAAGCCCUGGAGCCUCUUGGGGAAGCUUUCCUUGGUCAGAGGCAAGGUGGGACACAGGGGGAUUUGCUGACCACACAAUGUGGAUCCAUAGCAUGGUGUUGAGUGUUGAGUCCAAACAAGAGCCCAAGCAGAGUCUACAUCUGGGGUGAGCACUGGAGAGGACAAGGCAGCAACCUGCCAGCAAAGAUGUGUGGGUGAAGGCUGAGCAUCCGCUGCACGGCCCUUCCAAGGCACGCUGGCUGACGCCCGGCUUUGCAGCCAGAAGCAGUAGCAGACACUGACUAAGUCAGAUGUGUCAUGGGGAGAACUGUUACAUCGCUUCUGCCCUCCUGCCAGCCAGCAA